ensembl:lncRNA
CCCAAAUAUGGAUAUAAACAAUUACGUGCCACUUAGCAUACACAGCUGUGUUUAUAUUAGCAGACAAGCCAUUCCCUGUUCUCUGCUUCUUGCAUAUAAUGUAUCUAUGAAUUUGGCUCCCAGGAGAACUGAGCCGUGAAUCUCAAAAACCGAAAUCAACAACUGAAAGGGAAAGUGUUAGGAGCAGACUGGCCACCACUCAGCACUGAAAACUCAUCCUCUUUGAGUGAAUUUGGAUUUGCUUUUGGGUAGUGUAUUAGUGAAUGUCUUCUGUAGCCAGAAUAUUCACAGAGGUGACUGACCAUGUAAGAAAAUACUGAAGGAAAGGGAAUCUGUUGAUUCUGAAACUAUGCCUCGAACACUUGAUAAUUGCUGAGAUGCUCUUCUAAGACAGGGAUGAGAAACAGUACUGACGAACCUACAGGAGCAGCUGUGAUGAAGCAACAUGUUCAGCAUUCCAAGGUGCCAACUUUACUAUUUUGCUUUUGCUAUAAAUGAUGACUUCACAAAGACCUGUCUCGGGGAACCAUAUGCUGGAAACCCCUGGUUGUAUGCCAUUUGUAUGGGAACUGUUGAAUCAUGGCCUGAAUCUCUGAUUGACCACCUGAGGUGAGCGCUGAGUCAGCUGCAGGGGCACAGGUG